rnacentral:rRNA from 1 species
UACACACCGCCCGUCACAUCAUGGGAGUUGGUUAUACCCGAAGGCACUGACUUAACCGCAAGGGGAGAGGUGCCUAAGGUAAGGCCGAUGACUGGGAUUG